rnacentral:lncRNA from 1 species
AUAAAACAAUAGGAAACAAAUGUGUAAGGUAAAAACACCUGUGGUCGGGAGAAUUCUAAAGAUGUCCUCCCAGGAUUCUGGUCGCCUAGUUAUUCAGUCAAACACCAGUCUAGGCGUUGCUGUGAAGGGACUUUGAGACGGAAUUAAGUUUACUCAUCAGCUGACCUUAAAAUAGGGAACUUAUCCUGGAUUAUCAAGGUGGGACCAAUGUAAUCACAUAAGCCCUUAGAAACAGAAGAGGAAAGCAAAAGAGUUGCAGCAGAAGGAGAAAUCAGAGAGAUUCAAAGCACAGAAAGGACUCAACCCACUGCUGCCUGCUGCCGUUGAAGACGGAGCGGACAAUGUAAAAGGAAUGUGGGUAGUCUUAAGAAGCUGAGAGAGGCUCCUGGCUGACAGCCAGCAAGGAACAGGAUCCUCAGCCCUGCAGCCACAAGGAACUGAAUUCAGCCAACCGCCUGAAUGAGCAUAAAGCCUCCAGAUCAGAGCCCAGCUGCCCAAGAACUUGAUUUCCGCCUUGUGAGACCCACAGCAGAAAAUCCAGGCAAGCUCACCUGGACUUCUGACCUACAGAACUGUCAGAUUAGCCCUGAGCUAACAUCGGCCACCAAUCCUCCUCUUUUUUGGUGAAGAAGACUGGCCCUGAACUAACAUCUAUGCCCAUCUUCCUCUACGUUAUACGUGGGACGCCUACCACAGCAUGGUUUGACAAGCUGUGCGUAGGUCCACAUCCAGGAUCUGAACUGGCAAACACCGGGCCACUGAAGCAGAAUAUGCGAACUUAACCACUGCAUGACCAAGCCAGC